rnacentral:rRNA from 1 species
UACGGAGGUGCGAGCGUUGUCCGGAAUCAUUGGGCGUAAAGGGCGCGUAGGUGGCCCGGUCAGUUCGUGGUGAAAGCGCGGGGCUCAACCCUGCGUCGGCCAUGAAUACUGCCGCGGCUGGAGCACUGUAGAGGCAGGCGGAAUUCCGGGUGUAGCGGUGGAAUGCGUAGAGAUCCGGAAGAACACCGGUGGCGAAGGCGGCAUCCUGGACCGGCAUUGACGCUGAGGAGCGAAAGCCAGGGGAGCAAACGGG